AUUAUAUUAUUAUGUAAAAUAACAUUUUUUUCACAUACUCAUUACGUAUAAUCAAACAUUGUUAUACGUAAUUUUGUUUUAUAUGCACAAAAAUCGUUUCAAAUUCCGAAAAAAUGGUUCGUAACUAUGUGCGAAAAACAAAUCGGUAAUCGUGGGAUGAAAAUACAAUGCUAUUAGUCAUAAAUUAAAAGCUGCAGUUAAUGAUACAUUAAGUUAUAUAAAAGCUUCAACCGACUAUGAAAUGCGAAUGCCUCAUUCAAAUUUACAAGAUAGAAUAAAAGCAAUAAAAGACGAGAAAAUGAAACUUUACAACAGUGCUUUAAAAGUCUGUACCAGGGGUGGCCAACAUGAAUGUGUUCGCGUGCGACAUGGACAAAUACAAUUAUACCAAGAGUCAAAGUAUUUAUAAGACGUGAACCACAUCUGACUAAGACGAGAGCCACAUGCGGCUCGCGAGCAGCAAUUUAGCCACUCCUGGACUAUACAGUAGACACAAGACAUACUGUCAUAUAUACAUAACAAGGAGGCCAUAUCACGAAUUCAUAAAUAUUAUUUUGGCUGUAUUGCAACACAGAUAGUGGAUAGCCACGCACGCACAUCAUAAUACGUAAUAUAACACAUCAACACACCUAUAUAGGUAAUACUAUAUUUUUCAUUGUUUGGUCGCACCACUGCAAGAGUUUAUAUAGUAUGUAUCAUAAUGACAUUAUUACACGCGAAGCAUUGUCAAUAUUAAUAUCAAUAUUAUUAAUAAUAUAAUAAAAAAAAUGAAAUAAUUACGACGAUGUGCGAAAUGCGCCGUACCAUGUAAUAUACAAAAUGAUUAUAUACAUAUAUAUACAUAUACAUUACAUACAAAGUAUGCUUAUUGCUUAUACUCUCGUCCUAAGCAAUAAUUUAGUGUAUAUUCGUAUA